AUGCAAGUCGAACGGUAGAGGGGGCAACCCCUUGAGAGUGGCGAACGGGUGCGUAUAUAUCGGAACGUGCCCAGUCGUGGGGGAUAACGUAUUGAAAAUUACGCUAAUACCGCAUACGAUCUAAGGAUGAAAGCGGGGGAUCGCAAGACCUCGCGCGACUGGAGCGGCCGAUAUCAGAUUAGGUAGUUGGUAGGGUAAAGGCCUACCAAGCCAACGAUCUGUAGCUGGUCUGAGAGGACGACCAGCCACACUGGAACUGAGACACGGUCCACACUCCUACGGGAGGCAGCAGUGGGGAAUUUUGGACAAUGGGCGAAAGCCUGAUCCAGCCAUUCCGCGUGCAGGAUGAAGGCCCUCGGGUUGUAAACUGCUUUUGUACAGAACGAAAAGGUUUCUAUUAAUACUACGAGCUCAUGACGGUACUGUAAGAAUAAGCACCGGCUAACUACCUGCCAGCAGCCGCGGGAAUACGUAGGGUGCAAGCGUUAAUCGGAAUUACUG
rnacentral:rRNA from 1 species